UACGUAGGGGGCAAGCGUUGUCCGGAAUCAUUGGGCGUAAAGAGCGUGUAGGCGGCCAGAAAAGUCCGCUGUGAAAACUCGAGGCUCAACUUCGAGCUGUCGGUGGAAACUUUCUGGCUAGAGUCCGGAAGAGGAGAAUGGAAUUCCUGGUGUAGCGGUGAAAUGCGCAGAUAUCAGGAAGAACACCCGUGGCGAAGGCGGUUCUCUGGGACGGUACUGACGCUGAGACGCGAAAGCGUGGGGAGCAAACAGG
rnacentral:rRNA from 1 species